rnacentral:rRNA from 1 species
UGUUUCGGCUAGGGGGUCAUCCCGACUUACCAACCCGAUGCAAACUGCGAAUACCGAAGAAUGUUAUCACGGGAGACACACGGCGGGUGCUAACGUCCGUCGUGAAGAGGGAAACAACCCAGACCGCCAGCUAAGGUCCCAAAGUCAUGGUUAAGUGGGAAACGAUGUGGGAAGGCACAGACAGCCAGGAUGUUGGCUUAGAAGCAGCCAUCAUUUAAAGAAAGCGUAAUAGCUCACUGGUCGAGUCGGCCUGCGCGGAAGAUGUAACGGGGCUAAACCAUGCACCGAAGCUGCGGCAGCGACACUAUGUGUUGUUGGGUAGGGGAGCGUUCUGUAAGCC